rnacentral:rRNA from 1 species
UACGGAGGGGGCUAGCGUUGUUCGGAAUUACUGGGCGUAAAGCGCACGUAGGCGGCUUUGCAAGUUAGAGGUGAAAGCCCGGGGCUCAACUCCGGAAUUGCCUUUAAAACUGCAUCGCUAGAAUUGUGGAGAGGUAAGUGGAAUUCCGAGUGUAGAGGUGAAAUUCGUAGAUAUUCGGAAGAACACCAGUGGCGAAGGCGGCUCACUGGACUGGUAUUGACGCUGAGGUGCGAAAGCGUGGGGAGCAAACAGGG